rnacentral:lncRNA from 1 species
GACAGCGUUUGCAAUUGUAAGCCCGAGUAUUGCCAUGAGUCCAAGGUAAAUGUUCAUCCUAGUUUUUGAUCCUGCACUUUCUUUUGCAAUCUCUUUGACCUUUUGUGCUUCUAGCUUGGGUGUCGGUUUGACUGUGAGCUCCUUUUUGUUGCGAGGCUUCACCUUCCCAAGGCUUUUGAAGAACAUUCCUUCGUUUUUCUCCUUCUCAAUCCAAUCUUCAAAGUCUUCAAGCACCCUUUCAUUCAUUUCUAUCUCCUGCCUUUGGACUUCAGCAGUUUCCUCAAAUGCCUGCAUCUUGCUGUCCAGCCUCUCCAUUAUCUACCACAUCAAUUACCACAAAACUCCGUGAAUUGUCAAAUGGUGAGAAACGAUAGACGGCUCAACUUAUCAUUGUGGGAGGUGCUCACCUGGUCCCCAACUUCAUCAAGCUCUUUCAUGGCGUUCUGGCCGAUCAGAUCGAACUCGCUGUCGGCAUCCUUCGCGAACUUGGUCAGGUAAGCAGAGCGCUCGUCCAAGAAGUUUGUGAUGCGAACCUUCUGCGCCUGAAGCAUUGCGAUCUUUGCAAGGACCUCCUGCUGGCGUUUGUCUCCGCCAAGCGACGACGAAGCAUCG